ensembl:lncRNA
AUGAAAAAUCCAAGAUGGCGCCGAGCAUGGCGGCCGUGUUGUGAGCUCCGAGUAAACUUUGCAGUUUUUUUCGUCUGUUUUACUUGUUUUUUGUUGUUCUACGUGUUGGAUGUUGUUUGUAUAACUGUCUACGAUAGACACACGCUUCUGAACAUCGGUUCCUACGUCGCGGAACGCAAACCGGACUUUGAGUUCUUGAACGCCGGCGCUUUGUUUACAGACACCGCAUCAGAGCCCUUUGUCUGGGCUGCGCGGGCGCGACCGAGGAAACGCCGCCGGAAAAGAGGAAAGAGAGCCGGCGUCCUCGUCAGACUCAGACGUCGUCCCCUCCGACCUCCUCUCCCAUCCAUUUUGCUGGCUAACGUUCAGUCACUGGACAACAAACUUUGCGAACUGCGGGCACGUAUCUCAUACCAACGAGAAACAAGGGACUGCUGCAUUAUUUGCCUCACAGAAACCUGGAUGUCUGCAGUGGUUCCAGACUCAGCCAUCGAGCUUACGGGGUUCUCCGUGCACCGCUCGGACAGAACGAAAGAGCUCACAGGGAAAAGCAGAGGUGGGGGCGUUUGUUUCUUUAUCAACAACUCGUGGUGUGAUGAAAGGAACCUACACUCUAUUAAAUCCUUCUGCUCCCCUGAUCUGGAAUUUCAUAUGCUUCUGUGUCGACCAUUCUGGCUACCGAGGGAAUUCACAGCGGUCAUAAUCACCGCUGUUUACAUUCCCCCUCAAGCCAACACAGACCAGGCACUCAAGGAACUGUAUGGGAAUAUAAGUGAGCAGGAAACCGCGUACCCAGAUGCAGCGUUUAUUGUUAUGGGGGACUUUAACAAAGCCAACUUCAGAACAAUAGCUCCGAAAUAUUUUCAACACAUCACCAUCAACACGCGUGGUGAUCGUGUACUGGACCACUGCUACUCUCCUUUCCGGGACGCCUACAAAUCUCUCCCACGCCCACCUUUCGGCAAAUCGGAUCACUCUUCCAUUCUGCUGCUGCCUGCUUAUAGGCAGAAACUGAAACGGGAAGCACCCGCCCUCAGGACAAUUCAGUGCUGGUCGGACCAAUCAGACGCUAUACUACAAGACUGUUUUGAUCACGUGGACUGGGACAUGUUCCGGGCAGCGUCUGAUGACGACAUAGAGGCGUACUCAGAAACUGUAACGUGUUUCAUCAGGAAGUGUGUAGAAGAUGUAGUGCCGACAAAAACAAUCCACAUCUACCCCAACCAAAAACCGUGGAUUAAUAGCGAUGUUCGAGCAGCCUUGUCAGCGCGGACAUCCGCUUUUAAAUCCGGGAAACGCUGA